rnacentral:lncRNA from 1 species
GUACAUGUCGAUUCUUGUAUCUUGUAUUAUUACACUAUAGGAUGAUUGUGCAUUGCCUUUCCUUAUGCUUUCCUUGAUGAUGUCGUAGCAUGUAUUAGAUACUUGAUAUAGUAGAUCGGUAAGGAUUGGGUCGAGAUUGUGAAUCCUAUAGUGUAAAGAAAGAGAUGGGUUCAAUGGUUGGUCUAAUGAUAAACAAAGAAUGAGUGGCAUCUAGACGAUAGUAAACAAUGGACGAGUGGCAAUUUAGUUGAUAGUAAGCAAAAGAACAAAUGACACAUAUGAGU